AAGCAUCAGCAGAAUGGGAAGGAGGUCCUUGCAGUAAGAGUGCCCAUCCGUAUUGCCAGAGGAGCAGAGCCACGGGUCGAGGAGCCGAGCGACAAGCUCAGGUGCUCUUCUGCUGGCCUUGUGGGCAAUGGCAGGGUCUUCAGGCCUGGGCAUUUAAGCAUUGCCCUCUUCUCUUUGGAGGUGCCAGCCCGGUAACCUUUGGCAAGAAAUGAGCGUCCCAGGUGUACCAUGCAGUGGGAGCUGCAAGCUGCACCUCUUGCUUGAGGCAGACACACAAGGAGUUGAGUGCACUUAGGAGACGGUGAGUGUGGGAAUGGUUGGGGUUUGGCCGAUGUGCUGCUAAAGUCAUGCACUGAUUUUGGUUUCCUUUCUUGGAGCUGACGAAGAGAAGAACCCAGGGACUGCAGGAAGCCCUGAGGCAGCCGAAGGGACAUGCUUUUGGAAGAUGUACCACACAGAUAAUAAAGAAAUACCAAAAAAUAUGUUUCUUCAUUGUUUCUGCAUAUCAUAAACUUCCUACCAAACAUUCUCUAUCAGCUUUCUGCCAGAAUUUCUCACCAGGACUUCUCACUGCACUUUUCCUGCUAAUAAAUCCUGCCGUUGUUUAAGGUUACCAUAUCUCCUCGAACAUCUGAACUGGCUACGUGCCAAGAAACCACGUAAAACCUCCCUUGAGCACUAUAAAAACUGAGGAAAAUUUUGGAAAAUCACGGGACAGAAAAGGGAGAGAGAGCUGGUGACUGUAGCUGAGAAUCUCUCCCCACCUCCCCUCCCCUUUUCUCCGCCACCGCGUGCUGCCUGCCUGCCACCGGAGACUGGAACUGUGCCAGCCUGGAGAGAGCUGAGACCACCGUGCCACAUGUGGGAGUUCUACCUUAUCCUUCCAGCCUUGUCAUAUUUCUGAAGGCCUAAAAGUGCAGCUGAGUGGGACCCUGCACAGCCUGGGACAUGGCUGGGUGUGAGUUCCAGAGGACUAAAGCUCUCAGACCCCUGCAACUAAAAAGAUAACAUCAAAAA